CCAUUUUUUUCUUCCCGAUACCGAUUCCAAUACCUGAACUUCAGUAUCAACCGAUACUGAGUGCAGAUCCCAUACCAGUGCGUUACUAUUAUUUUUUAACAUAUGUAUACUACUAACCCUGUAUGGAUGUGAUAUGAUUGCUAUCAUUGUUGUAUGGUCUGGCUCCAGUUAAACCUUUUGUGAAACAUAAACUAAUACAAACAAGGAAUGCCAC